GAUGAACGCUGGCGGCGUGCCUAAUACAUGCAAGUCGAGCGAACGGACGAGAAGCUUGCUUCUCUGAUGUUAGCGGCGGACGGGUGAGUAACACGUGGAUAACCUACCUAUAAGACUGGGAUAACUUCGGGAAACCGGAGCUAAUACCGGAUAAUAUUUUGAACCGCAUGGUUCAAAAGUGAAAGACGGUCUUGCUGUCACUUAUAGAUGGAUCCGCGCUGCAUUAGCUAGUUGGUAAGGUAACGGCUUACCAAGGCAACGAUACAUAGCCGACCUGAGAGGGUGAUCGGCCACACUGGAACUGAGACACGGUCCAGACUCCUACGGGAGGCAGCAGUAAGGAAUCUUCCGCAAUGGGCGAAAGCCUGACGGAGCAACGCCGCGUGAGUGAUGAAGGUCUUCGGAUCGUAAAACUCUGUUAUUAGGGAAGAACAUAUGUGUAAGUAACUGUGCACAUCUUGACGGUACCUAAUCAGAAAGCCACGGCUAACUACGUG
rnacentral:rRNA from 1 species